rnacentral:rRNA from 1 species
AGUGAACGCUGGCGGUAGGCCUAACACAUGCAAGUCGAACGGCAGCACAGUAAGAGCUUGCUCUUACGGGUGGCGAGUGGCGGACGGGUGAGGAAUACAUCGGAAUCUACUUUUUCGUGGGGGAUAACGUAGGGAAACUUACGCUAAUACCUCAUACGACCUACGGGUGAAAGCAGGGGAUCUUCGGACCUUGCGCGAUUGAAUGAGCCGAUGUCGGAUUAGCUAGUUGGCGGGGUAAAGGCCCACCAAGGCGACGAUCCGUAGCUGCUCUGAGAGGAUGGUCAGCCACCCUGGACCUGAGACACGGCCAAGCCCCCUACGGGGGGCAGCGGUGGGAAAUAUUGGACAAUGGGCGCAAGCCUGCUCCAGCCAUCCCGCGUGGGUGAAGAGGGCCUUCGGGUUGUAAAGCCCUUUUGUUGGGAAAGAAAAGCAGCAAGUUAAUACCCCGCUGUUCUGACGUUACCCAAAGGAUAAGCACCGGCUAACUUCGU